rfam:Ornithinibacillus halophilus strain IBRC-M 10683 genome assembly, contig: Ga0104432_1003
UCUGGUAGCGAUAGCGAGAAGGUCACACCUGUUCCCAUCCCGAACACAGAAGUUAAGCUUCUCAGCGCCGAUGGUAGUUGGGGCUUUGCCCCUGCAAGAGUAGGACGUCGCCAGGC